AGAGUUUGAUCCUGGCUCAGGAUGAACGCUGGCGGCGUGCUUAACACAUGCAAGUCGAACGGAAAGGCCUUGUGCUUGCACAAGGUACUCGAGUGGCGAACGGGUGAGUAACACGUGGGUGAUCUGCCCUGCACUGUGGGAUAAGCCUGGGAAACUGGGUCUAAUACCAUAUAGGACCGCAUCUUGGAUGGUGUGGUGGAAAGCUUUUGCGGUGUGGGAUGAGCCUGCGGCCUAUCAGCUUGUUGGUGGGGUAAUGGCCUACCAAGGCGGCGACGGGUAUCCGGCCUGAGAGGGUGUACGGACACAUUGGGACUGAGAUACGGCCCAGACUCCUACGGGAGGCAGCAGUGGGGAAUAUUGCACAAUGGGCGCAAGCCUGAUGCAGCGACGCCGCGUGGGGGAUGAAGGCCUUCGGGUUGUAAACUCCUUUCGCUAUCGACGAAGCCACUUGUGGUGACGGUAGGUAGAUAAGAAGCACCGGCUAACUACGUGCCAGCAGCCGCGGUAAUACGUAGGGUGCAAGCGUUGUCCGGAAUUACUGGGCGUAAAGAGCUCGUAGGUGGUUUGUCGCGUCGUCUGUGAAAUCCCGGGGCUUAACUUCGGGCGUGCAGGCGAUACGGGCAUAACUUGAGUGCUGUAGGGGAGACUGGAAUUCCUGGUGUAGCGGUGAAAUGCGCAGAUAUCAGGAGGAACACCGAUGGCGAAGGCAGGUCUCUGGGCAGUUACUGACGCUGAGGAGUGAAAGCAUGGGUAGCGAACAGGAUUAGAUACCCUGGUAGUCC
rnacentral:rRNA from 1 species